CCAGCGGCCUGGGAGUGCCAGCAGAGGAGAGGAGGCGAUGCUGAUGAGGAAGCUGAGGCAUCAGUGGUGGGGACGUGGGGCAAAAUCCUCAGUUAGGAUUUUGUGAUCCAUCCCAGGCUCACCUCUGCUGCUGCUCCUCAGGCACCAGCCAGGGGCAGCCCCUGGCUUCUGGAAACCAUGCCAAAAAAAUCCCAGGUCUCACAAAACCCAACGGGGCCGGGGGCAUCCACCCCCUUCCCUCUCUCUCUGUUAUCUGCCCGUGGAAGAUGCUGGGGGGUGGCUGGCAGAAGCUAUAUUUCGAUAACAAGAACGAAACCAACAUGUGUACACAGUUGUUUUCCCUGCCUGGGGUCCGUGUAGUUCUCCUGGAAGGUUAAUAAAUGGUAUGCAAAUCCUCUUAAAUGGCCGUGUUUACACCACAGCUUAGUGGCUCCAGCCAUGUCCUCUACUUUUAACUCCCGAAGUUUGACUGCAAAAAGAAUUUGCUUCCCCACGCUCUUUAGAGCUCUCCCCAGGUUUUGUUCUCGCUUUUCUUCGGCGGUCUGCUCUUGUGAACGUAAAGGACAUCACCGGAGGAAAAAGAAAAAACUAAAAAAUUUGCCUAUUGAAGAAAAAAAAAAAAAGAAAAGGAAAAAAGAUGUUUUGCUUAAAGACAGGAGGCUACUGUAGUGUAAAAUGAAUGAUUAAUAAGGAUGAGAAAAACCUGGUUCAACAGGGCAAAUGCUCAAUAACAGCUCGUUUAAUCACUGGCAGAUUAGCUGCAAAUGCAAAGUGCCGGCUGCAGCGCUGUGCUAACUGCUCUGGGAAGUGUUGGCUACUCCUUUAAUGACAGCGUAACCUUUCAUUGUGCGUUUAUUUUAAAAAAGGCCCGGCCUUAAAUAUCCCAGCGCUUGAUUUCUUCCUUUCUCCUCCCUUUUUAUUUAUUUAUUUAUUUAUUUAUUGGCUUCUCCUGCCCUCGAUGAAUUUUCUGAUGCGGGGACAGGCUGUGAGCCGUGUCACCUCUGCAAAUAUCGCCGGGCUGGAGCCGUGUCUUUGGGGGAGAAUCAGAUUUCAGAAGGGCUGUAUGCAGAUUGUCUCUCCUGUUUGUGUCGAGGAGGGAGGCAGCAGCCGUGCUGGUGGGAUGGAGGCAGGGCCAGGCAGGAGCCCCCCUUGUUGCCCUCCACGAGCAGGUCCCCACACCCCCAGCACCCCCCUGGCCACCCACGUGCAGAGCGCGAGGUGUGAGCACGCCGGGCUCCGGGAGGCACUGGGAAGGCUCAGGGAGAAUCGCAGCAGCUAUCAGAAGGUCUUACAGGGACCAGGAGCUUUUGUCUUCCCCGCCUGCAGGCAAUUCCGGCCCCGCAACCAUUUAACCCUUCAGCACUGUGGAUGGGAUUGCGCUCGCACCACGAUGGGAGCAGAAAACCAGCAGCAUGAGCAGCUCCUGCUGCCAUGGGGAUGUCCGUGGCAGAGAGAGGCAGAUUUAGCCGUUUGA
rnacentral:lncRNA from 1 species